CCCGGGACCGCGGCAGCCCGUCUCCGCCACCCGCCGCCUCCUCGGCGCGGUCCCGCAGGGUUUAUGGACUGCUGCCCCCACCCUGUCCUGCCUGCGCUCCGCUCCAACACCCUCCUGUGACUGUAACCCAGAUUUUAGGUUUUUGAAGGUUCUGAGAGCAAGCUUCGAUGACAGACAACACUGAUGAAUCCGCGGUAUAAAUAUCCGGAACCCAAUCCCUUCCAAGGAAACACGGUUGAGUGGGAAGCUGGACCCGGUUUCUAUUGUGUUGGUUCUGUCUUCCUCUCGCUGUGUGCUUGGUCUUUCUGGGGCGGGCAGAGUUGCACAUUUCCAGUCCUUUCCUGUGCUAGCAACAGACUAAUUAUUCAUCUUCUCUCCAAUCCUUGCUUCUUCUUUACCCCUUGUAUUGAUAAAUGUUUGCCUUCACCCACUCAAGAAGGAAGAAAAAAUAAAUAAUCUGUCAUUUAGGUUUAUGAGAAAAGAGCUGAAAAACUUGUGAGGCAAAGGAAAUGCUUAAUUACUGUCUCCUUCUUCCUAGUGGGGAAGUGGAAUCUUUUAAAUGUCCAGUAUCUAUACCACAUAUAUGUUCUCUGUAUGGUAAAGGGAGUCUUAAAACUUUUAAGAAAUUUUGUUACAAUGUAAUGACAUGGAGAUUAUUUUGCCCUUGAUCCUUUUGAAUUUUUUUAAUUCACUCAUCCUUUCAUUAGUUUAUUCAACUAACAUUUCGUGCCUACCAUGUGCUGGAUGAAGGGGGCAGGAUGAAGGGGUGGGAAAGACAGGGAUCCUGGGACCCUUGUAAUAAUUUUCAAUUUACUUUGAAAAGUAAGGCUACAAGAAGUGAAAUAGGAACAAAAAUCAACAUUCCUACUCCUCCUUUCCUCCUGAACACUACUUUAAAUUUCAUCAUCAUAGACACAGGACUUAGAAAGAAAAUAAUAUUAAAAUCAAGAAUAUGUCAGGGCUUCUCUGAGGCUUUGUUUGAUCUUUGUUUUGUUUUGAUGCUUAUUUUUAUGGGGGCUUCUGUCAUUGCUUUAUGUUUAAUACAAAAAAAAGUGAAACAGUACGAUCAUUACAGUUUCUGUAUUCAUGUUUUAGAAUCGAUUGCACUAAGUAUGCCUUUUAAAAAGUUCUCCAAACAAUUUCUAUUUUAAAAAGGAAAAAAGAAAAAAAGAAACAAAAUAAUAACUUACAAGCCAUAUGAAGUAAAAUGAAAAAUGUCCUUUAGUUCAAAGCCAGGAGCAUGAAAUAUGGACUCUUGAAACUAAAAGGACGCCAAAGAGACCUCUGGUUUAUUUCUGUGUCUCUGGGUAGCAGGGCUGCCACUCCAAGGGUAAGGCGUGGAGAGAAAGCGGUUCUCCCAUAUAUUUACUCUGUAGCAAUUUAUUUGUGGCAAAAAGAAACCUACUGGGGAAUCUCUAACUGGGCCUGUGGGAGAAAAAAUAAAAAGCAAACAUCAGGAAGCAGAAUUCCU